rnacentral:piRNA from 1 species
UCGUUGAAAAACAUGGGGUAUUAGAGGUUA